rnacentral:rRNA from 1 species
GAUGAACGCUGGCGGCGUGCCUAAUACAUGCAAGUCGAGCGAACGGACGCGAAGCUUGCUUUUCUGAUGUUAGCGGCGGACGGGUGAGUAACACGUGGAUAACCUACCUAUAAGACUGGGAUAACUUCGGGAAACCGGAGCUAAUACCGGAUAAUAUUUUGAACCGCAUGGUUCAAAAGUGAAAGACGGUCUUGCUGUCACUUAUAGAUGGAUCCGAGCUGCAUUAGCUAGUUGGUGAGGUAACGGCUUACCACGGCAACGAUGCAUAGCCGACCUCAGAGCGUGAUCGGCCACACUGGAAGUGAGACACGGUCCAGACUCCUACGGGAGGCAGCAGUAGGGAAUCUUCCGCAAUGGGCGAAAGCCUGACGGAGCAACGCCGCGUGAGUGAUGAAGGUCUUCGGAUCGUAAAACUCUGUUAUUAGGGAAGAACAUAUGUGUAAGUAACUGUGCACAUCUUGACGGUACCUAAUCAGAAAGCCACGGCUAACUACGUG